rnacentral:rRNA from 1 species
UACGGGGGGGGCAAGCGUUGUUCGGAAUUACUGGGCGUAAAGGGCUCGUAGGCGGCCAACUAAGUCAGACGUGAAAUCCCCAGGCUCAACCUGGGAACUGCGUCUGAUACUGGAUGGCUUGAAUCCGGGAGAGGGAUGCAGAAUUCCAGGUGUAGCGGUGAAAUGCGUAGAUAUCUGGAGGAAUACCGGUGGCGAAGGCGGCAUCCUGGACCGGCAUUGACGCUGAGGAGCGAAAGCUAGGGUAGCGAACGGG